UACGUAGGGUGCGAGCGUUAAUCGGAAUUACUGGGCGUAAAGCGUGCGCAGGCGGUUUGUUAAGACAGAUGUGAAAUCCCCGGGCUUAACCUGGGAACUGCAUUUGUGACUGGCAAGCUAGAGUAUGGCAGAGGGGGGUAGAAUUCCACGUGUAGCAGUGAAAUGCGUAGAGAUGUGGAGGAAUACCGAUGGCGAAGGCAGCCCCCUGGGCCAAUACUGAUGCUCAUGCACGAAAGCGUGGGGAGCAAACAGG
rnacentral:rRNA from 1 species